AUGAGUAGCUCGUGCUCUUCUGCAGCUGUGGUGGAUGAGGGUAAUGCGAAGAUGGCAGUGAGGGGGUGGGUCGGGUGGGAGGAGGAGAUCGUGAUGGAGGACAAUGACGGCGAGGAGUGCAAGGUGUGCUACUUCCUUCGCUCUGCACCGCCCCAGGAUGGCGGUAAGAGCGAGAGGGAUCUGGCGGUGGUGGGUAAGUAUUGGGAACCUGGGAACAUAGCCUACUCGGCAGACUUGCAGUUCCUGAAGUCCCUCCAGACGGCACUGGAGUCUGGGUCACCGUCCGCUAGGGUGGUGACGGUGGCGAUGGAGACCACUCAACUCAGGUGGACGUCCAGGAAGGAGGUCAUGGACUGGCUCACGUCGCUCGUCUUAGAUCCUCCGUAUGGAGCCUUUGGAUUCACUUGUCCCGACAACCAUGAUGGUGCAUCUAAGGAUACCCUCUCAACACUUGCUGCUGCUGGGGAGAACAAACAAGGGUUCACAUGGAUAUGCAAACUGCCCCAUCUUGAUCAACAUCGGAAGCAUUACAAAUCCUUUUGCCGAGAGGGAAUGAGAAUUUCGGUUCAUGAUUUUGUGUUCAUCAAGAGUGGAGGGAGAGAGAGCCAUGUUGCCUAUGUGGAAGACAUGUAUGAAGAUAGUAGCGCCAAGAACAUGGUGCUGGUACGAUGGUUUGAGGAACCUGAUGGUGAACAUGGUGUUGUAUUGCCCCCUGAUCUUUAUCGCAAGGAGAUCUUGUUUGCCUAUGGGCUGCAAGAUCUGAGGGUUCAAUUUGUGGAGGGAGUGGCCGCGGUCCUGAAUCCACAACACUUUGACAUGUUCAACAAAAUAAGUGGAGGGCACAGCAGCUGGCAGCCCUAUGUAUGCAGUCGGCAGAUCGAAGAUGACAUUGUCGGACCCUUUGACAUCACGCAGCUGCAAGGAUAUGCAAACCAGGAGAUCGUAAAGGAAAUUGUUGCCGCAUCCUCGUCCACGGCGGUGCAGGCCAAGCCACCCAAUAACAAAGGUAAAGCUGAAAUUACUGGCAUGGCUGCCGAGAACCAUGCUGGUUCUUCUGGCACUGUCUUCGGUGACAAAACCAUGCAGAAGCAGAAGCCACCUGCAUGCAAUGCAACUCCUUUCAGUUCCAGCUCUAUUAUCGGUGAAAAAACCAUGGAGAAGCAGAAGCAGAAAUCUCCUCCAUGCAGUGCAACUCCUUCCAGCUAUGUUAUUGGUGACAAGACCAUGGAGAAGCAGAAGCAGAACCCCCCUCCAUGUAGCGCAACUACUUCCAGCUCCGUUAUCGUUGACGAAACCAUGGAUAAGCAGAAACAGAAUCAGAAUCAGAAGGAGAUGCCCCCUCCAUGUAGCACAACUGCUUCCAGCUCUGUUAUCGUUGAUAAAACCAUGGAGAAGGAAAAGCAGGAGCAGAAGGAGAUGCCCCCUCCAUGCACUGCAACUCCACAAAGUGUCACCAAUGGCCAGACCGUUGAAAGCAGUGUCAUUCCUUGCAGCGUGGUGAACUGUCAGACCACCACGCUGAAUCAGCCGCCGCCAAGUGGUACUGGUACUAGUAAUGCGGCAGCCAAUGAUGCAUCAACCAUGGUGAACCCUGAGAAGAUGUUCCAGCCUGGCUGCUGUCUUGAAGCCCUGUGCCAAGACAGCAGCAUGAGGGGCUGUUGGUUCAAAUGUGUGGUACUCAGGAGGAGGGAGAAAGAUAACAAGGUCAGGGUGCAGUACCAAGACCUUUCGAAUUCCGAGGAUAAAGGACAACUCAGGGAAUGGCUCAAAGUUGCAAGAAUUGCGGAACCUGACCACCUAGGCAUACGCCUUACUGAAAGGCCCAUGCUCCGCCCACAGCUCCCAACAUGCUACAGGAAGAUCGAGUCUCCGGUGGCUGUCGGGGUCAUCGUCGAUGUGUGGCUAAAUGGCGGAUGGUGGGAGGGGAUCGUGCUGCAGCAGGACAAUGUUGGUCAUGUCCUAGUUUAUCUCCAAGGGGAGGGGAGACUUGUGGAGAUCAAAGUAGACUCUCUGCGAAAGUCAUUUGAGUGGCGUGAGGAGCAAUGGAUACCUCUAGAUGCAAGAAAAGAUGUUGCAGCCAAGAUAACCCUUGACCUGAAGAAGCAGAAGGGCAUCCAGCAAUCUGCAAUGAAGAAGGAUGGUGGGAGCUCUUCCAAACAGAAGGCUCAGAAGAUGGGUGAGCAAUCUAGGCAGACGGCGGCGACCGCAGCACUCACAGCCGCAGAGCUAGCCGCACCAAGCCUAGGACUGUUGCAGCCUUGGGAGAAAGGUGAUGAUGAAACUGCAAACUCUACUCCUCCAUGGAAGAGGUUCCUGGACCAGGGCUACUCUUUCAAGGAAAAAGGACUGGAGGAGCAGGCUAAAAAGAACAAGGGUCCUAUUGAUGAAGCUGCAACGCCAGUUACAGAGGAGGGAGAUGGCAUGUCCCGCGGUGAUAGCUCACCUUAUGCCAAGCGGUGCCGGGUUGAUCCUACAAACUCUGAUGGCCUGAAUGGCGCUAAACACAAGGGCAAGGCUAGAAAAUCUUCUCGCGCAAAGAAAACAGGGUCUUUGGAGGGCAGUAACCAGGGAGGCACCAGUGGCUCUGCCUCUACUAGAUGCGCUGCGUCGGUGAACACGGUGCCUAUGGAGGAUAUAUGUAUAACAAGUGGAGAGGCUCCUGUCGUCGCUAUGGACAAAUUGGAGGUGAUCGACCUGACCAUGUACGACUGA
rnacentral:rRNA from 1 species